UACGUAGGGGGCUAGCGUUGUCCGGAAUCAUUGGGCGUAAAGCGCGUGUAGGCGGCCUUGUAAGUCCGUUCUGAAAGUCCGGGGCUCAACCCCGGGAGGCGGAUGGAUACUGCAAGGCUCGAGUACGGAAGAGGCGAGUGGAAUUCCCGGUGUAGCGGUGGAAAUGCGCAGAUAUCGGGAGGAACACCAAUGGCGAAGGCAGCUCGCUGGGACGUUACUGACGCUGAGACGCGAAAGCGUGGGGAGCAAC
rnacentral:rRNA from 1 species